rnacentral:sRNA from 1 species
AGUCAUCUGGCAGAAGUCAUUCAAGCCCGACAUUCUUUUGGCCACACCGUGCUGCCUUAGAUGAGCUUUUCUGUAGUAGUCUCCAUCCUAGUUAGUGUUUUAAAAUGGGAAUGAAAUGGCACUUUGAUAACAAAUUUUAGUGGAAUAGUCUGAGAGAAACCAGCAGCUUCGUAUAAAAUGAUCUCAUUCACAGGGGAGGCGCCACCUGCUGCAGAAGUUUCCUCAUCUUUUGUGAUCCUGUGUGUGUGCAGUUUAAUAAUAUUAAUAGUGUUAAUUGCAAACUGUGUAUCCUGCUGUAAGGACCCAGAAAUAGACUUUAAGGAAUUUGAAGAUAAUUUUGAUGAUGAGAUAGAUUUCACACCACCAGCAGAAGAUACUCCCUCUGUUCAGUCCCCAGCAGAGGUCUUCACACUUUCAGUACCAAAUAUUUCACUCCCAGCUCCCUCGCAAUUCCAGCCUUCUGUAGAGGGAUUGAAGUCUCAAGUUGCCCGCCACAGUCUAAACUACAUACAGGAAAUUGGAAAUGGCUGGUUUGGAAAG